UGUAAAGACACGGCGUUGGAACAGAGAUAAAAAUUAGAGAAAGGAAGUGCGAAAUAAAUUUUGAUCUUUAUUUAUAUAUAUUUUUGGUUUCUGCAUCUCGUUCCCAGGGGUUUUGUGAUUCUCUUCUGCUAUCGAUUCCUCUCUCUCUCUCUCUCUCUCUCUCUCUCUCCGGUUUACAAACUUUUGUUUCUCGCUGUUUGUUUCGGGGUGGAUCUUUGUUUUGGUGAUGGCGAAGGUGAGACAGUCGCAGAGAUUAUUACAGGCGAGGAAAUGGUCGACAUUGAUGCUGGUUCUGUUUAUGCUUUUCAUGUUAACGAUUGUUCUCUUGAUGCUUUUGGCCUUUGGGGUUUUCUCUCUUCCCAUUAAUAACAACGACGAAUCUUCUCCCAUGGAUCUCUCUUAUUUCCGACGAGCUGCAACUGAGAGAAGUGAGGAGGGACUUGGGAAGAGAGGAGAUCAGUGGACUGAAGUGCUCUCUUGGGAGCCCAGAGCUUUCGUCUACCACAACUUCUUGUCGAAAGAAGAAUGUGAGUAUUUAAUCAGUCUUGCCAAACCACAUAUGGUGAAGUCAACUGUUGUAGAUAGCGAAACCGGCAAGAGCAAAGACAGCAGGGUGCGAACAAGCUCAGGGACUUUCCUUAGGAGAGGAAGGGACAAAAUCAUUAAGACCAUUGAGAAAAGAAUUGCUGAUUACACCUUUAUUCCAGCAGAUCAUGGGGAAGGACUUCAAGUGCUUCACUACGAAGAAGGCCAAAAGUAUGAACCACACUAUGAUUACUUUGUUGACGAGUUCAACACUAAGAAUGGAGGUCAACGCAUGGCUACAAUGCUCAUGUAUCUGUCGGAUGUUGAAGAAGGCGGUGAAACGGUGUUUCCUGCUGCCAAUAUGAAUUUUAGUUCCGUACCAUGGUACAAUGAGCUCUCUGUGUGUGGUAAAAAGGGACUUUCCGUAAAGCCUAGAAUGGGAGAUGCGUUGCUCUUCUGGAGCAUGAGGCCCGAUGCUACGCUAGACCCCUCAAGCUUGCAUGGUGGAUGUCCUGUGAUUAGAGGGAACAAGUGGUCAUCUACAAAAUGGAUGCAUGUUGGCGAGUACAAAAUCUAGCGUCUUUGAUUUGCUGACGGUAUACUGUUUCCUAGAUGGUGUAAAAUUGGAGAGAAAGAGAGUUGAUGUUUGUUUGAUUUUGUUUUUUCCAUGCGGCUCAGUGUUUUGGGAUUCAGAGGUUCAUAUAUACAUAUAUCAGUAGAGAAUGCCAAAAGAGAGGGAAUUGUUAGAUUACAUUAGGAUGGCUUAAAUAGACAUUGUUGCUCACUGCUAUACCAGCCAUACGUUGUGAAUUAGUUAUAACAUUAUUCAUAUAAAAAGUGUCAUCUUCUUAUAUAAGAACUGUUUAUAAUUCAUACACCCAAAUUAUCAAAGGGCCUGCUGGACCAUACGUGAUUUGAAUUGUGUCAUUUGACUCAUUUUUGGAGGUCUUCAUGUGCCAGACAAUCAUUUCUUUAUGUUAUAUCAAGAGAACAGAGCAAAUAUGUAACAUAUCGCACAUAGAUGUAAUAAAAGUCUGAAGGAAUAGAUUAUUACACAACAACAAAAAGAUAUGAUUCAACAGCUUAUAAAUAGCGUUUUCGUGUGUAGUUUACCUACUACACAAACCUUUAUUACACAGAUGAAAAA